UACGUAGGUGGCAAGCGUUGUCCGGAUUUACUGGGCGUAAAGGGCGCGUAGGCUGCGGGGCAAGUCGGGUGUGAAAUCUCAGAGCUCAACUCUGAAACUGCACUCGAUACUGCUUUGCUUGAGGACUGGAGAGGAGAUUGGAAUUCACGGUGUAGCAGUGAAAAUGCGUAGAUAUCGUGAGGAACACCGGGUGGCGAAGGCGGGUUCUCUGGGCCUUACCUGACGCUGAGGUGCGAAAGCGUGGGGGAGCAAACAGG
rnacentral:rRNA from 1 species